rnacentral:sRNA from 1 species
AUUUCCUCCAUCCUAUUGAUCUAUUCCUACGUUAUUUUAGGCUCAUCUCUUCAUUUAAAACUUUUAAUUGUUAACUAGUCACAGAGUAUGAGAUGGUUUUAACUAUCAACUGGAAAAACAAAUAACUGAUACUAAAUUGAUUUCUUUUUAUUCUUUUGACAGUCUAGAAUAGCAUUGAGUAAAGCAGCUGAAGAAAGUAGUGGAUUAGAUCCUCUCAGUCUUGACAAAUCCUAUUGGAUACAGAGAGUUGGAGAGAAAGUCAAAUCCUAAAAGCAGUUAGAGCUAGCUGUUAGUUUUCCCAAUUAUUUACAGUUAUCUAUUCAACUGCAAGAGAGUAGUGAGUAUUGGUCAGAUAAAGUUAGGGACCUGUCCACCCAACUUGAAAAGUCAAGAUGUGCAAGUGCUGUGAUCAAAGUGCAUUAAAACUUAUUGUGAUAUUUACUAUGAUGUAGUACUAGUUUCCCAAGGACUAAUGGUACUUGUUGGUAAACAAAUAGCCAUUUUAUUAUUGUAUUUAUUGCAGCAAACUUUUAGUUAUGAAAAAUAUUCAGCUUUCGUUUUAUAAAAUUCAUUGCAAAACUCACAUUUUAAGUUUUGUUUGUAUUGAACUAAGUUUUAUUUUGUAUUAAUGAUCUAAAGAAAGCGAAUGGAGGAUAAAAUAAUUUUUAGUUAUGUUAAAUAAGUCUAGUCGAUAUUAUCUUUAACUCUGAUUCAUACUAUAAACCUUCAAGAACAGACAAAAUAAAUUUCCAAUUAUAUCUAGGUCUAUAAGUUGCUAACACCAAAUUUUAAUUCUGUUUUGCAGUUAGUAAAAUCAAAAUAAACAUACAUCAGUAUUGUAUAUAUUUAUGUACUUUUUUUCACAAUUUUUGAAUUGUAUAAAUAGAUAUACGUUCAUUAUAUCAUUGUUCUUCUUACAUUAUAAAACUUUUGUUUUAAAGUUUUGUAUCGUAAUUGUAAGCUACAAACAUUUUUUUUUACUCUGUGAUAAAUGUUAUACCCAAAAAUACAACUUUCUGCAGCUCAUAAUUUUAUUAUCUUUAGCUUUCUUUGCAUACUCUCAAAAGUAUUAGUAGCCGUAGAUUUUGUUUUCAUUCAUCAAUUUGUAAUAAAACUUCAUUGCUAAUGAAGUCUUUAUCCGUCCAUAAAAGCUUUUAUACAUGAAUGCAUUAUAUUUAAUUAUGUCUGGCAUGUUUGAUUUGGAAAGAAUUGGUGGAGGAAAAGUUACUCCUGUGCUGACAUGUUACAGUUAACAGGCAUUGGUUCAUUGUUUAUGUUCACAUAUUAAUUUCUAUCCUUUGUAAAAGUUUAGCAAAUUUGUAAAUGGAAAUCAAACUUCAACCAUCAUUUCAUGCCCUCUUUACAUUUCUGACAUUAAAUAAGCUAAGCCAUUAUUUUUAUAAUAGAUGGUGUCAAGUUUGUUCUUUCUUGCUAAGUGGAUAUUUCAAAGCGAAGAAAAGUGUCAGACAUUUUUUUUUAGUAAAAUGAUCCCUUUCUAUUAGUACAUUUUUUAAACUGCAUACCGUAUUUCAUUUAAUACAAGAUCUUAUAUUUGUUUUUUUAUGUUUUAACUACUAAGUUAGGAAAGGCCUGAACAACUGACCUGGGACAGCAACCAGUGGGCUAUUUAGACCAAUUGACAUCAUGACCUGUGACAAGGUAACAAGCUAUCAGUCUAAUCUGCCCACAGGUUGUGACAUUGCAGCUCUGUGUUCAGGCCUUCUAUAAAUGAUUGGUCAAUUUUAUUAUUGUAAUGAAUUAUGUAAAAAAAAAAAUAAAGUUUUUAAUCAAAUCAUUUAAUCAAUUCAUUGCUUGUGUUAAGCAAAUCAUUGUUAUUUUCCAAACAGCAAGUAGGCUGGUCUCCAAAAGAUAGGUAAAGACCUUGCAAUAUAUUGGAGCAGGUGAUGUAAAGCUCAUCAUUUCUAAAGUAGAUGGGUUACUGGCCAGAACAAUGACCAACUUGCCUUUACUUCUCAAAUAUAUAUUAGGGGACAUGGGUGUAGCCAGGGGGGAGUUGGGGUUAUGCUUUGAUUUUGUUUAUUUUAGGUGAGAUUUUAAUACUAGACCAUCA